rnacentral:rRNA from 1 species
AUUGAACGCUGGCGGCAGGCCUAACACAUGCAAGUCGAACGAGUGGCGGACGGGUGAGUAAUGUCUGGGAAACUGCCUGAUGGAGGGGGAUAAAUACUGGAAACGGUAGAUAAUACCGCAUACCAUCAGAUGUACACAGAUGGUAUUAGCUAGUGUGUGGGGUAACGGCUCACCAAGGCGAAGAUCCCUAGCUGGUCUGAGAGGAUGACCAGCACCACUGUAACUGAGCCACGGUCCAGACUCCUACGGGAGGCAGCAGUGGGGAAUAUUGCACAAGGGGCGCAAGCCUGAUGCAGCCAUGCCGCGUGGAUGAAGAAGGCCUUCGGGUUGUAAAGUACUUUCAGCGGGGAGGCGUUACCCGCAGAAGAAGCACCGGCUAACUCCGUGCCAGCAGCCGCGGUAAUUC